rfam:Ramazzottius varieornatus DNA, contig: Scaffold002, strain: YOKOZTNA-1.
AUAGGUACGGCGAUAUGGUGCCCAAGACGAUUGCCGGAAAAGUGGUUGGUGGUGUCUGCUCCUUGAGCGGCGUCUUGGUCAUCGCACUUCCGGUGCCCGUCAUCGUUUCCAAU